rnacentral:lncRNA from 1 species
CAUUUUUAAGUUUUUUGAUCUUUAAUUUCUAUUGUUUUCUACAAUAUUUUAUACUUCCAUUACUAUCCUAUCUAUUCUAUCAAACAUCUAUUGUUCCUUGAUUUUUGUCUUUGAUUAUAAACCUUUUUUGCAAACAAUUUUCAAACUACUUAUUGAAAGUGGAACUGCAAAAGUUAUCAAAUUACCCUUCUCCAGCUAUGUACAUGAACCGCUCCACUAACUCCUUUUUAUCAUUGUCCAAUUGGUCCUGUUUCAAAAGAGAAAACCAUAUCACACAAGACAUAAGCUUAGAAGUUUCAAAUUAAUCUUAUUUGACUAACAAAAAAUUAUAUAUAAAAUGCAAUAAUUAAACAUAAACAAACACAUCAAAAUAUUUUAGGAAAAUACAAAGAAGAAACAACAACUAACCAUUUUGGAGAGCUUAUUGUGCAAAAGAAAAUUCCUAAAAAUAGAGAGUUAAUAGAUUUUGGAUGAAACUUUAGCGAGCAGAAGAGGG